rnacentral:rRNA from 1 species
UGCGCAGGCGGUUAUGUAAGACAGAGGUGAAAUCCCCGGGCUCAACCUGGGAACUGCCUUUGUGACUGCAUAGCUAGAGUUCUGUAGAGGGGGGUAGAAUUCCAGGUGUAGCGGUGAAAUGCGUAGAGAUCUGGAGGAAUACCGAUUGCGAAGGCAGCCCCCUGGACAGUGACUGACGCUCAUAUGCGAAAGCGUGGGGAUCAAACAGGAUUAGAUACCCCCGUA